GUCUAUGAAGUGCAGUGUGGGUAUCCUGUACUUAUGGUUAUUAUUCACUUGAUGCAGUGACUUAUGAUGAUGUGGAUGUGAAUUUCACUGGGGAAGAGUGAAAUUUGCUGGAUCCUUCUCAGAAGAGUCUCUACAAAGAUGUGAUGCUGGAGACCUACUGGAACCUCACGGUUAUAGGCUACACUUGGGAAAACCAUCAUAUUGAAGGACAUUGUCAAAGUUCAAGAAGAAAUGAAAGGUAUGUAAGUAAUCAUAGUGGAGAGAAACUCUAUGAAU